rnacentral:lncRNA from 1 species
CACCGUCAUAUCAUCAUGCUUCGAAAGACGGUUCUCAGCUUCGAGCUUGUUGAAUGCAGUACAAGCAGCAUAAGCCGGCACAUCUCUCAGCAUCAUCAUACCCUGACGAGCAUACACACCAACUACUUGUUCGGCACACACGAUCUCAACACGAGACUUCGGGUCGGCAAUAGUUCGGUAAACGUGUAUUUUAGGCACAAGUUUAAAUUGAACUUGCUUUUUAUUAGGCACGAGUUUGCGGUCGACUCGCUUAUUGUUAGACAUGAGUUUACAAAAACUCAUCUUUGACUAGGCAUGAGUUUACAGAAACUCUCCUUCUACUAGGCACGAGUUCUCAGUAAAUUCGCCUCUGUCUCAGCAUGAGUCAAGUAAACUCGUCUUUCACUAAGCACGAGUUUAAAGCAAACUCGCCUUUUACUAGGCACAAGUUUGAAGUAAAUUCGCCUAAACCAUCAUAGGCAUGAAUGUGUCUAGUUCAUUGUCUAAUAAACCUUAUUCGUAAAAUUCACAGAGAUCAACUUCAUCUCUCUCUACGAACUUGGGGGGACUUACUGUUGGGGAUGAAUUUACAUCCUCCUCAAGGCCCAUUAGACAUUGAACUAGGUUCAUAUUGCUAGGAAGUCCUAGGCUUCAUCUUUCUAUAAAUAAGAAACUACUUCCUUCUUAGAAAGGAUCUUCUUCUCUCUUUCAUCUAGACUUAUAACACUUUUUACAAAGAGUUUAUGGAUUCUUAGACUUAUUUACACUUGUAAUCAUACAUGUAAAACAAUUUUUGAUUUAUAAAUUCUUUUUGAUGUUCUUUUUCCAUUUGAUUUCUAUGUUGAUUUCUCUUUAGCCUCAAGAAUCUAAGAAAUCUAUUUCUUAAAUUCUUCAUUGUAUGAAUCCGACAAACACACCAUUUUCGGUUCAAACAGUUGGCGCUAGAAGGAGGGGGCCAAAGAGAACAAUCUUGAUAGCAUAUCAAACUUGGGAAAACCCUAGAUCUAGGAUAAAAAAAAAUUGAUAUGCUUUAUGACUUGAUACUCGGGCUAGCAUAUUAAUUUUUCCUUGCUGCUAGCAUAUUAAUUUUUCCUAGCAAGGGACAAGGGUUUACGUAUGACUACCAUAAUCCAUUAACUUUCCCAAUAAUUUUAAUAAAGCAAUUAGCUGCCAAACUAUCAAUAGACGUGCAUUUUGACGUUUUAAAGAAGGUGGUCUAAUGAUAAUAAUUAGUUAAUAUUGGGAAAACUUAUCUCAAUGUAUCGCUCUUGUCUGAGCUGAGAUGGUGGUGAGCUCUGCCUCAAUGGAUCGUUCUUGUCUGAGCUGAGAUGGUGGUAAGCUCUGUGUUCCACAGAACAAGUCGGCAAAGAGAAGCAAGAGCUUUUAAUGGAGGUGUGAUGACUGAUGUCAUUUCGAACAUCAAAAAGAAUUUAUUGAUUAAAGAUUAUAUUACAUGUAUGAUUACAAGUGUAAAUAAAUCUAAGAAUCAAUAAACUCUUUGUAUGAAGUGUUUAAUAUGUCAAAAUGGGAGGAGAGAGAUCCUUUCUCAUAAGGAAGUAACUCCUUAUUUAUAGAAAGAUGAAGCCUAGGGCUUCCUAGUAAUAUGGGUCUAGUUUCUUACCGUGGAUACUCGUCAGUUCCGGUUUGUUCAUCACAAGAUAGGAGAAGCUGUUCGAGACUCACGUUCUCGGCUUUGAUAACGCGACAGUCCUCGACAGAACUUGAUAUCGGCGUUCUUGGGUUGAUCUCGACAGUUUGGGCAUAUCAUCCUCAGAAGAUCCGAUCCCGGCAGAAGCAGUUCAUCGAGCACUAGGUGAAGCUAAAGGAUGAAGCUUUCUCAUGAAAGCUUUGCUUUCUUCGGGUGGGACUUUCAUCGAGCACUUGGUGGGCUGAUAAUAACAUGAAGCAACAAUGGCAGUUCAUGUUCGUAAUCCCAGAGAACGACAUCAGACACACGAUCUCAAACGUCGCCGCCGUGAAGACGAGCCAUCCUCGCAGCUUCCGCCAUCUCCUUCAUUCUCUUCCCCGGCGUAUCCUCACCGUCCGUCAGAGAUCUUACGGCUCCCGCGAUCUCCUCAGCUUUCACUACCUCUCCGUUCGCAGCGACGUAAUUCAUACGCAGCUCCAGCUCCAGACAAGCAAAUAGCAAACAGAAACUUAUCUGGCUCGGCUUCCACUGAAUCAUCUUCCUCCUCAUCAACUUCUGAUCGGAUGAGCAACCACUUGAUCUGCCUUGAGAAACAUAUGUUCUUCACUGCGUUGUUGGAUCGAGUUCUUGUCUGGUCAGAUGAGCAACUGCUUCGCUCAUACCUUUGGUCUCCAAGCUGUUGUUCAGACACGAGACACGGCAAAGACUUGAUCCUUCAAGCCCCAUCAAGGACAGCUUAUUGACGACUUGAGCUCUGUUUUUCAAAGCUUUAUUCUUACUAAAUUGAGCUCCAAAGUCAACAGCUUCUUCUCGCCAUGACUCGCUUUGCGAGAGUGAAGACUGCAACACCUUACAAGGCGUGCUCCAGCUUAAUACUGCCAUGUUAUGUUUCCACUCGGCUUCACAAGAUUGUUCACCGCGCAAAACGCAUUCCAACCCGUCGUUAAGCUUGGCUUCUCGAACAGCAAAGAAUCUGACGAAAUGACAUCAGUCAUCACACCUCCAUUAAAAGCUCUUGCUUCUCUUUGCCGACUUGUUCUGUGGAACACAGAGCUUACCACCAUCUCAGCUCAGACAAGAACGAUCCAUUGAGGCAGAGCUCACCACCAUCUCAGCUCAGACAAGAGCGAUACAUUGAGAUAAGUUUUCCCAAUAUUAACUAAUUAUUAUCAUUAGACCACCUUCUUUAAAACGUCAAAAUGCACGUCUAUUGAUAGUUUGGCAGCUAAUUGCUUUAUUAAAAUUAUUGGGAAAGUUAAUGGAUUAUGGUAGUCAUACGUAAACCCUUGUCCCUUGCUAGGGAAAAUUAAUAUGCUAGCAGCAAGGAAAAAUUAAUAUGCUAGCCCGAGUAUCAAGUCAUAAAGCAUAUCAACUCUUACAUUUUUUUUUUUUUUUUGUGAGUUGCAAGGUCUAAUUAAUAAUGGGGUUUAAAUUUUAUUUGUGAAGAUUAUCUCUUUGGUGACUCAAUCUCGGCGACCAUGAUUCAGUCUUGAUACAUUCAGUUUGAUUCCGGCGAGAGCGGAGAUGAUGAGCCAACCACCUCAUCCCCUCAUCACCUCGUCAUUUGUUUCACAGGGUCGACGGCGUCUCGUUCUUGUGAAUGAUGCACUCAUCAAACAUUGUGCUUCUUUAUGCUCCAUCAACACCGAUGAGCCCGAGCCCGACCUCACAAAUGAACGUCAUCGCAGCCUGACGAACAUACAAGCCAACAACUUGCUCGGCACACACGAUCUCAACACGAGACUUCGGGUCGGCAAUAGUUCGGUAAACUUGUAUUUUAGGCACGAGUUUAAAUUGAACUUGCUUUUUAUUAGGCACGAGUUUGCGGUCGACUCGCUUAUUGUUAGAUACGAGUUUACAAAAACUCAACUUUGGCUAGGCAUGAGUUUACAGAAGCUCUCCUUCUACUAGGCACGAGUUCUCAGUAAACUCGCCUUUGUCUUAGCAUGAGUCAAGUAAACUCGUCUUUCGCUAAGCAUGAGUUUAAAGCAAAAUCGCUUUACAAUCGAGAAGCAGACAAGUGACCCGCACCAAGAAUGACGAGCUCAAAUUCUCUCAACGAGCUUGCCGCAACCGGCACAAGCUCAAGACGAACUCAUUUUAAGCUCGGCUUGGAUAAGAGAUAACCACACCAUCUCAUCUCGGCGAGGUCUCUUCUUGAUCCAUGGCUGUCCAUCUCGGAGAGGUCUCCUCUCGAUUCAUAGCUAUCCGUCUCGACAAGAUCUCCAUCUCAGCAAGUCGUUCGUUGGUCUCUUUGGUGGCUCUUCAUUCCGGUCGUGUUAGCACCGUCACUACUGAUUUAGUGGACUUGCUCAAGUGGUCAAGUGAUUCAGAGUAACAUCACGUUCUGGUCAAGUGGAAACCAAGAAGGCUUUCGGUAACAUGUGUGGUGGAGAUGAUGACUCGAUCACGGUUCAUACGGUUGCCUACAUGAGACCGAAGAAGAAAGGAGUUCGAGCUCAUUGUCUCUCUCUCGGCAACCACUCCAACUUCUCCACCGCAAAGAUAAGUUCUUGUCUUGAAUUAUUACAUGUUUUAAUAACUUUUAAAUUUAUGCUACGGUAAACAUUGUGGCAUUAAUCUAAAUUAUUAAACAAUUUUGAGCAGUUCAUUCUCAUAUAAUCUUUAUGAGAUGACUCAUGUCAUCGCUUUAUUGUUGGUAACCUAUGAUACUAAUAAUUAAUGAUUAUCAUGUCAUCAUGUGCAACUCACUACCGUUAAGGGAAAACAAGUUCAACCUAGCUUGCUUAUUAAUUAUGCAACUGUUUGGUUAUUUCUUUUGGUUUAUAUUGAUCUAAUCAUGAUCAUGCCUUUUGUGAACCAGAGUCAAAGAGAAAAACAGAGCCAACAAGCUAGCAAAGAAUCUGACGAAAUGACAUCAGUCAUCACACCUCCAUUAAAAGCUCUUGCUUCUCUUUGCCGACUUGUUCUGUGGAACACAGAGCUUACCACCAUCUCAGCUCAGACAAGAACGAUCCAUUGAGGCAGAGCUCACCACCAUCUCAGCUCAGACAAGAGCGAUACAUUGAGAUAAGUUUUCCCAAUAUUAACUAAUUAUUAUCAUUAGACCACCUUCUUUAAAACGUCAAAAUGCACGUCUAUUGAUAGUUUGGCAGCUAAUUGCUUUAUUAAAAUUAUUGGGAAAGUUAAUGGAUUAUGGUAGUCAUACGUAAACCCUUGUCCCUUGCUAGGGAAAAUUAAUAUGCUAGCAGCAAGGAAAAACUAAUAUGCUAGCCCGAGUAUCAAGUCAUAAAGCAUAUCAACUCUUACAUUUUUUUUUUGUGAGUUGCAAGGUCUAAUUAUUAAUGGGGUUUAAAUUUUAUUUGUGAAGAUUAUCUCUUUGGUGACUCAAUCUCGGCGACCAUGAUUCAGUCUUGAUACAUUCAGUUUGAUUCCGGCGAGAGCGGAGAUGAUGAGCCAACCACCUCAUCCCCUCAUCACCUCGUCAUUUGUUUCACAGGGUCGACGGCGUCUCGUUCUUGUGAAUGAUGCACUCAUCAAACAUUGUGCUUCUUUAUGCUCCAUCAACACCGAUGAGCCCGAGCCCGACCUCACAAAUGAACGUCAUCGCAGCCUGACGAACAUACAAGCCAACAACUUGCUCGGCACACACGAUCUCAACACGAGACUUCGGGUCGGCAAUAGUUCGGUAAACUUGUAUUUUAGGCACGAGUUUAAAUUGGACUUGCUUUUUAUUAGGCACGAGUUUGCGGUCGACUCGCUUAUUGUUAGACACGAGUUUACGAAAACUCAACUUUGGCUAGGCAUGAGUUUACAGAAGUUCUCCUUCUACUAGGCACGAGUUCUCAGUAAACUCGCCUCUGUCUUAGCAUGAGUCAAGUAAACUCGUCUUUCGCUAAGCAUGAGUUUAAAGCAAACUCGCUUUUUACUAGGCACAAGUUCGAAAUAAACUCGCCUAAACCGUCAUAGGCAUGAGUAUGUCUAGUUCAUUGUCUAAUAAACCCUAUUCGUAAACUUCGCAGAGAUCGAUUCCAUCUCUCUCAACGAACUUGGGGGGACUUACUGUUGGGGAUGGAUUUACAUCCUCCUCAAUGCCCAUUAGACAUUGAACUAGACCC